UAACAUGGCUAGUAUAUAAUGCUUCUUGGCUGCCCCGACAGUAAUUUUUGGUUUAAAUCUACUAACUUAUACAUGGUCACACUUAAGCGAGCAAAGAUAAACAAAUAAGACAAAAACAUUGAAAUUGCGUAGAAAUACGUGAAUUUCGUGAAAAUAUAAAUAAUUAUAAUGUUUAAUUCCAGAACACGCAUCCAGGACAGUUUUUGAUUGUCAUCAGGUAAGUAUUGCAGAUGUCCUUAUAAUCAUCCAGUGCGGAAGUCGUCAGUGUUGUUGUCACCGAUGAUUGGCAUGAGUUGUUACGAGUUGGGAUUAGUUGGAAUCGUGUUAAACUGUAGUUGUGAGGUGAGUACAUCAUACAGACACACACACAAACAUUUAUACUUAUAGUGAGUGUCUGGAUCACUCUUCUAAUCGUUCAUCUAAAUGGAUUGCUGCAAUGUGUUUCUCGACGACAGCGAUUCAGUGUGACCCUCCAUAUUGCUGCCAUAUGCUGCGUCUAUUUGGUCAAGUGGGCCAAAUAGUUUGAUAUCAGCAGCUUUUAUGCCAGUGCACUAUAUUGCUUAAGGAUCAUGCACGCUCAUUGUCGUGAUUGAGGCCUAACAGGGAAGACUUCAAUCAUUGCUGUGUGAUGAUUGGUUUGAGUGCUGGCGUCCGCUUCCAAUUGGCAACUCUUACAGUAUCACAAGAGUACCGAAUGAAAUAGUACUGGCAUCUUCCGUAUCAGUGCGGCAACCGUGAUGAUGUUCAUACAAGGGCACUGCCCUUGCAAUGGCCUAACUGGGACGGCCUCCAACUUCCACUUGCGAUGCAUUGUUUGGGAGCUGGCAUCUGCUCCAAAUUUGACAUUUGCAGC